UCCUGCUAUACAGUUAUUAAAAUCCAGAAGAAGUAGAGUUAGCUCCACAGAGCUCACUGUGGGACAUGUUGGCCUACACUAAAAGCCAGUAGCCUUCUUACUGGCUUCUCCACUUCUAGUCUUUGCCCUUGAAACUAUUUUGUACAUUGGUCCCAAGGACCUGUGAGGCAGGUGCAGCAUCACUGAGCUAAAUCCCCGGCCCUCCAAGGGACUCACAGCUAAGAGUUUGCCUUGGGUCUCAGAGGAGAACUUAAGACUUGGACUUUCCAGCAGUUCUGAACCAUUAAGACUUUGGUGACUCUUAGAGAUAGACUAAAUGUAUUUUGCACAAAGAGAUGCACAUGAGUCUUCUAGAUGUUGUGGCAAAAUUUUAUGGUUUAGAUCAAGAAUGAGUUCCAAAAAUCUCAUGCACUCAUAUGUAGGGCUUUGGAAGAUGAUUGGAUAUUCAGGAAGCUAUAGCUGACUUGCUCUUAGGAAGUGUGGCCCAAUUAGAGGCAGAUCAUGGGGUGGGACCUGGAAGGGUAUGUAUCCCUCCUUGGGUCCUCUCUUAUCUCUCUGCUUCCUUGCUACCAUGAUGUGAGCAGCUUUCCUGCAUAGCAAGUCCUUCUACCAUGUUGCUUCUGCCUUUGAGCCUGCCAAACAUAGAC
rnacentral:lncRNA from 1 species